CCCUUAGAUGUUCUGGGCUGCACGCGCGCUACACUGAAGCUAUCAACACGUUUUCCCUCCCUGAGAAGGGCGGGUAACCUUUUGAAUCAGCUUCGUGGUAGGGAUCGGGGCUUGUAAUUGUUCCCCGUGAACCAGGAAUUCCUAGUAGACGCGAGUCAUAAGCUCGCAUCGAUUAAGUCCCUGCCCUUUGUACACACCGCCCGUCGCUACUACCGAUUGAACGUUUUAGUGAGGCAUUUGGACCGACGCAUCUCAGUUUAACCGCUGGUUUGUGUUGGAAAGACUUCCAAACUUGAGCGUUUAGAGGAAGUAAAAGUCGUAACA
rnacentral:rRNA from 1 species